CGACCGGCGCACGGGUGAGUAACGCGUAUCCAACCUGCCCACCACUUGGGGAUAACCUCGCGAAAGUAAGACUAAUACCCAAUGAUAUCUCUAGAAGACAUCUGAAAGGGAUUAAAGAUUCAUCGGUGAUGGAUGGGGAUGCGUCUGAUUAGCUUGUUGGCGGGGUAACGGCCCACCAAGGCAACGAUCAGUAGGGGUUCUGAGAGGAAGGUCCCCCACAUUGGAACUGAGACACGGUCCAA
rnacentral:rRNA from 1 species